rnacentral:rRNA from 1 species
GAGCUAAUACCGGAUACGUUCUUUUCUCGCAUGAGAGAAGAUGGAAAGACGGUUUCCGCUGUCACUUAUAGAUGGGCCCGCGGCGCAUUAACUAGUUGGUGAGGUAAUGGCUCACCAAGGCGACGAUGCGUAGCCGACCUGAGAGGGUGAUCGGCCACACUGGGACUGAAACACGGCCCAAACUCCUACGGGAGGCAGCAGUAGGGAAUCUUCCGCAAUGGACGAAAGUCUGACGGAACAACGCCGCGUGAACGAAGAAGGCCUUCGGGUCGUAAAGUUCUGUUGUUAGGGAAGAACAAGUACCAGAAUAACUGCUGGUACCUUGACGGUACCUAACCAGAAAGCCACGGCUAACUACGUGCCAGCAGCCGCGGUAAUACGUAAGUGGCAAGCGUUGUCCGGAAUUAUUGG